CCCAGUUCGGAUCGCAGGCUGCAACCCGCCUGCGUGAAGUUGGAAUCGCUAGUAAUCGCGGGUCAGCAUGCCGCGGUGAAUACGUUCCCGGGCCUUGUACACACCGCCCGUCACACCAUGAGAGUCGGGAACACCCGAAGUCCGUAGCCUAACCGCAAGGGGGGCGCGGCCGAAGGUGGGUUCGAUAAUUGGGGUGAAGUCGUAACAAGGUAGC
rnacentral:rRNA from 1 species